GGGCGGGAGCCUGAACCAGCCAAGUAGCGUGAAGGACGACGGCCCUACGGGUUGUAAACUUCUUUUAUAAGGGAAUAAAGUUCGCCACGUGUGGUGUUUUGUAUGUACCUUAUGAAUAAGCAUCGGCUAAUUCCGUGCCAGCAGCCGCGGUAAUACGGAAGAUGCGAGCGUUAUCCGGAUUUAUUGGGUUUAAAGGGAGCGUAGGCGGGCUUUUAAGUCAGCGGUCAAAUGUCGUGGCUCAACCAUGUCAAGCCGUUGAAACUGUAAGCCUUGAGUCUGCACAGGGCACAUGGAAUUCGUGGUGUAGCGGUGAAAUGCAUAGAUAUCACGAAGAACUCCGAUUGCGAAGGCAGCAUGCCGCAGCACCACUGACGCUGAUGCUCGAAGGUGCGGGUAUCGAACAGGAUUAGAUACCCUGGUAGUCCGCACGGUAAACGAUGAAUGCUCGCUAUGGGCGAUAUAUUGUCCGUGGCCAAGCGAAAGCGUUAAGCAUUCCACCUGGGGAGUACGCCGGCAACGGUGAAACUCAAAGGAAUUGACGGGGGCCCGCACAAGCGGAGGAACAUGUGGUUUAAUUCGAUGAUACGCGAGGAACCUUACCCGGGCUUGAAUUGCAGGUGCAUGGACAAGAGAUUGUCCUUUCCUUCGGGACUCCUGUGAAGGUGCUGCAUGGUUGUCGUCAGCUCGUGCCGUGAGGUGUCGGCUUAAGUGCCAUAACGAGCGCAACCCUUCUCCCCAGUUGCCAUCGGGUAAUGCCGGGCCCUCUGGGGACACUGCCAUCGUAAGAUGCGAGGAAGGUGGGGAU
rnacentral:rRNA from 1 species